GGGGGGGGGGGGGGGGGGGGGGGGGGGGGGGGGGGGGGGGGGGGGGGGGGGGGGGGGGGGGGGGGGCCCGCUCCUCCCGGCCCCGCUCCCCUCAGCCCCGCUCCCCUCGGCACGGGGAGCCGCGUGUGCUCGCUGCUCGCAUGUCGAGCUCCUGCCUGAGGAAGGAGCCCGAGCCCUCCGCAAUCCCCUGUUCAGUGCCGGGGGUCGCGAUCUGCCAGCCCCACCGCUGGGGGAACAGGCCUGCAGCGGUCUUUGGGUACACACCCCCUGUUCCCAUCGCUUCCCAUCGCUUCCCAUCGGAAGCGCAGAUGGUGCCGAAGCUCCAUCAGGGCUGCGAGCAGUGCAAGGCUGGAGACCCUCAGACCAAAGCUUUAUAAUAGCACCCAGGCACUUCACUCCCGCUGUACUCAACGAGGGUCCGACACUCGAACAGCUUCGUGGGUCUGGGUGUAAGAAGCCUUCUUCAGGAAAUUGCUUGUGGUUUAAAACAGAGACCUCUGAUGUACCAGCAAAUACAUCUCCCAGGGGCCAGAAUCUGCAUUUCACACACAAAACCCACUUUGGCUAGCUCAGGUGUCUGCCUAAGCACCAGUGUGUAAAUCAAGGCAAAGAUGCAGAGGAUGGAGAAACAUGCUCCUGGAGCUGUGGCACAUGAAAGAGCACAUCUUCAGAACACAGCACAAGCUCUGCAAACCACGAUAACAUGUGACAGAAACUAUUUGAACAACCAAGAAAAAACAGCUAUUUACCUGAAUGAAAAUUUAUUGAAGGUUAGAUGCUGCUGCGCCCACCACCUCAGCUCACCCCCGAGUCCUCGGCAUGUCUGGCACGCAAAGGCUGGCCUCAGGUUUCUUGAAAGGCUUGUGAUUUUCUGCCCUGAGUUGCCAUCCAAAUGUGAAGCAUCCAGCUUUCCUGCACAACAGCACAGACCCUGGAAAGUCCCAGCUCCUGCUGUGUCACCCAGGCUUUGAAAGGAUCACAACAGGCCUAGGGCAGCUGGGGAGUCACAUGGUCCUUCAUUCCCACAUGGUUUAAUCAGCAAGUCCCAACAAGGUGGAUGUUAUCUUCCAAAAGCAUGGAGAGGACCUCGGAGCUAUGCGUAGCCCAAAGAACCACUUCAGAAGAUAAAACCCCAAGAGAAAUAAGAGACAAAACACACUUCAGUCAAAAACAGUAGUUUUACCUGUUUAGACUGUGGCAUACACUGCAGCAUAACCCUGGCAUCAGGCUAAACAGAAGCAGCCAAGGUCUCCAGGUGCCUGGAAUUAUACAAGUGCUUAAGAAUGUAAUUGAGAAAAGCACAUAAGGAACACAAGUGGUGUCAGCCUGAGCAUGAUGAAUAUAUAAUAAAUCAUACAGAAAC
rnacentral:lncRNA from 12 species